GCGCGUUAGUGGGCCCAGACCCGCGCAGACCCUGGCGGCAGGCCAUGUGUGUGCGCGCUGGGGUUUCCUUAAGGAUCUGAAUUCCAGAAGAAGCCUGAAUUGGGGUGCCUGGAAAGGUCCCAGGGUGCUGAGGACCGAGGGAGAAGGUAAGAUGAAACACCGCUCCCGGAGAGAGCCUGGACGUGGGGGUGAUGGGCUGGAGGCCGGCAGUACCCCUCUUCAGAGUGGGACCUGGGCCUCAGGCACCGACGAGGGAGCUGUGGGACCCUGGAGGGCUCCCUGGUGUGAAAUGGCUCAGGUCAGGACUGGUCGGUUGUAGCUCCUGCGCGUCUCGUGCAGGCUGCAAGCUGGCCCAGGGCAGUCCUGGGAGAAUCCACAGACUCAGGGAUGCCAGGAUGGAACCCAGAGCGCUGUGGCUGGGGAGAAGCAAGCCUACCGAGGACAGUGCCGGCGCUCAGUGGCCACUCAAUAAAUCGUUUUGGAAGGAG